rnacentral:lncRNA from 1 species
GAGGAAGGAUAGGGGAGAGGGGUGAAGUCCCCACGAUGUGCCUAGUGCUGUCCACCGGUGCUCUGAUGUAUUUUACUGAACAACACUUGUUGGUAGGAGGAGUAACCAUAUUUUUGGACUGGGAUAGACUCUUUUUGUUGGCAAUGACUUUAUUUUCCACCCCCGGGUCUGCCCCUCUUAAAGCACUUAAAGCAGUGCCUGGUACAAGGUCAAUGAUGGACAAUGAACGCCAAACGAACUUGAGAAGUGGUUGCUGAAAGGCGCUGAUGUUUCCACGUGAGAUUUCUGGGUCACCCUCCUGGUGACUCUUGUGCCUCUGACUUCUAUCUGAUCCUAAGUCCCUGUGCAUUAAAAUACAAGCAAUUGGCUGGAUGCGGUGGCUCAUGCCUGUAACCCCAGCACUUUGGGAGGCCCAGGCGAGUGGAUUACCUGAGGUCAGGAGUUUGAGACCAGCCUGGCCAACA